rnacentral:rRNA from 1 species
AAAAAAGGUAAGCUACUAAGAGCGAAUGGUGGAUGCCUUGACUGGUAAAGGCGAUGAAGGACGUACUAGACUGCGAUAAGCUACGGGGAGCUGUCAAGAAGCUUUGAUCCGUAGAUUUCCGAAUGGGGCAACCCAAUGUAUAGAGAUAUACAUUACCUAUAUAGGAGCGAACGAGGGGAAUUGAAACAUCUUAGUACCCUCAGGAAAAGAAAUCAAUAGAGAUUGCGUCAGUAGCGGCGAGCGAAAGCGCAAGAGGGCAAACCCAGUGCUUGCACUGGGGGUUGUAGGACUGCAAUGUGCAAGAGGUGAGUUUAGCAGAACAUUCUGGAAAGUAUAGCCAUAGAGGGUGAUAGUCCCGUAUGCGAAAAACAAACCUUAGCUAGCAGUAUCCUGAGUAGGGCGGGACACGAGGAAUCCUGUCUGAAUCCGGGUCGACCACGAUCCAACCCUAAAUACUAAUACCAGAUCGAUAGUGCACAAGUACCGUGAGGGAAAGGUGAAAAGAACUGAGGUGAUCAGAGUGAAAUAGAACCUGAAACCAUUUGCUUACAAUCAUUCAGAGCCCUAUGUAGCAAUACAGGGUGAUGGACUGCCUUUUGCAUAAUGAGCCUGCGAGUUGUGGUGUCUGGCAAGGUUAAGCAAACGCGAAGCCGUAGCGAAAGCGAGUCUGAAUAGGGCGCUUAGUCAGAUGCUGCAGACCCGAAACGAAGUGAUCUAUCCAUGAGCAAGUUGAAGCUAGUGUAAGAACUAGUGGAGGACUGAACCCAUAGGCGUUGAAAAGCCCCGGGAUGACUUGUGGAUAGGGGUGAAAGGCCAAUCAAACUUCGUGAUAGCUGGUUCUCUCCGAAAUAUAUUUAGGUAUAGCGUUGUGUCGUAAUAUAAGGGGGUAGAGCACUGAAUGGGCUAGGGCAUACACCAAUGUACCAAACCCUAUCAAACUCCGAAUACCUUAUAUGUAAUCACAGCAGUCAGGCGGCGAGUGAUAAAAUCCGUCGUCAAGAGGGAAACAACCCAGACUACCAGCUAAGGUCCCUAAAUCUUACUUAAGUGGAAAACGAUGUGAAGUUACUUAAACAACCAGGAGGUUGGCUUAGAAGCAGCCAUCCUUUAAAGAAAGCGUAAUAGCUCACUGGUCUAGUGAUUUUGCGCGGAAAAUAUAACGGGGCUAAAGUAAGUACCGAAGCUGUAGACUUGAUUUUAUCAAGUGGUAGGAGAGCGUUCUAUUUGCGCCGAAGGUAUACCGGUAAGGAGUGCUGGAGCGAAUAGAAGUGAGCAUGCAGGCAUGAGUAGCGAUAAUUAAUGUGAGAAUCAUUAACGCCGUAAACCCAAGGUUUCCUACGCGAUGCUCGUCAUCGUAGGGUUAGUCGGGUCCUAAGUCGAGUCCGAAAGGGGUAGACGAUGGCAAAUUGGUUAAUAUUCCAAUACCAACAUUAGUGUGCGAUGGAAGGACGCUUAGGGCUAAGGGGGCUAGCGGAUGGAAGUGCUAGUCUAAGGUCGUAGGAGGUUAUACAGGCAAAUCCGUAUAACAAUACUCCGAGAACUGAAAGGCUUUUUGAAGUCUUCGGAUGGAUAGAAGAACCCCUGAUGCCGUCGAGCCAAGAAAAGUUUCUAAGUUUAGCUAAUGUUGCCCGUACCGUAAACCGACACAGGUGGGUGGGAUGAGUAUUCUAAGGCGCGUGGAAGAACUCUCUUUAAGGAACUCUGCAAAAUAGCACCGUAUCUUCGGUAUAAGGUGUGGUUCGCUUCGUAUUAGGAUUUACUCCGAAAGCGAAGAAACUUACAACAAAGAGUCCCUCCCGACUGUUUACCAAAAACACAGCACUCUGCUAACUCGUAAGAGGAUGUAUAGGGUGUGACGCCUGCCCGGUGCUCGAAGGUUAAUUGAUGGGGUUAGCAUUAGCGAAGCUCUUGAUCGAAGCCCGAGUAAACGGCGGCCGUAACUAUAACGGUCCUAAGGUAGCGAAAUUCCUUGUCGGUUAAAUACCGACCUGCAUGAAUGGCGUAACGAGAUGGGAGCUGUCUCAAAGAGGGAUCCAGUGAAAUUGUAGUGGAGGUGAAAAUUCCUCCUACCCGCGGCAAGACGGAAAGACCCCGUGGACCUUUACUACAGCUUGACACUGCUAUUUGGAUAAGAAUGUGCAGGAUAGGUGGGAGGCUUUGAGUAUAUGACGCCAGUUGUAUAUGAGCCAUUGUUGAGAUACCACUCUUUCUUAUUUGGGUAGCUAACCAGCUUGAGUUAUCCUCAAGUGGGACAAUGUCUGGUGGGUAGUUUGACUGGGGCGGUCGCCUCCCAAAUAAUAACGGAGGCUUACAAAGGUUGGCUCAGAACGGUUGGAAAUCGUUCGUAGAGUAUAAAGGUAUAAGCCAGCUUAACUGCAAGACAUACAAGUCAAGCAGAGACGAAAGUCGGUCUUAGUGAUCCGGUGGUUCUGUGUGGAAGGGCCAUCGCUCAAAGGAUAAAAGGUACCCCGGGGAUAACAGGCUGAUCUCCCCCAAGAGCUCACAUCGACGGGGAGGUUUGGCACCUCGAUGUCGGCUCAUCGCAUCCUGGGGCUGGAGCAGGUCCCAAGGGUAUGGCUGUUCGCCAUUUAAAGCGGUACGCGAGCUGGGUUCAGAACGUCGUGAGACAGUUCGGUCCCUAUCUGCCGUGGGCGUAAGAAGAUUGAAGAGAUUUGACCCUAGUACGAGAGGACCGGGUUGAACAAACCACUGGUGUAGCUGUUGUUCUGCCAAGAGCAUCGCAGCGUAGCUAAGUUUGGAAAGGAUAAACGCUGAAAGCAUCUAAGCGUGAAGCCAACUCUAAGAUGAAUCUUCUCUAAGCUCUCUAGAAGACUACUAGUUUGAUAGGCUGGGUGUGUAAUGGAUGAAAGUCCUUUAGCUGACCAGUACUAAUAGAGCGUUUGGCUUAUCUUUAAUAAAGCAU